AUGGAGAGGGAAAAUAUACCAAUUGCUUUCUUUAACAAUGUGCUACCAAAUUUGUUGGAGCAUCCGGGAUUUGGGGGUGUUGACGAUCCAAGAUGGACCAUCUUCAUGGAAGACUGUGAGGAAGAAGUCUGUUCAAAAAUAGAGGAUGCUUUCUGCCCUCUUAAAAAUGCAAAAUGUAAUCCGUGUUUGGAGUACAUAAAUUAUAUUAUCUUACCUUGGUUUGGAAAAUUUGAGGUGUUGCGGACUGGAGAGAACAGUGGACGUUCAUGUGCAUGGAAGAGCUUGCUGCUGAUUAUGAAAGUGGCGCUUUGCAUCCAAUUGAUGUGA
rnacentral:rRNA from 1 species